GGAGAAGUGAGUUGGCCCCUUUUGCUAAGUGUUCAGAGCACAUGGCAUGGCUAUAGCUUUUGCUAGGGCAUUAGUGAGAUAUUCCGCCCUAAUGCAAAUUACCUAACAGUUACUGCUAAGUGUGUCCACAGAAGCUUACCUCAUCUUGUUUGUUUUCCUUUGCACCCACUGUCAAGCUAUGGGACCAUCACUUCUUCUACUAUGUCAGAAUGCCUACUAGUAACAACUUAGAUGAACAGUCGGUUCAGGUUGGACAUAAACAAGACCAACGUGUGUCUGAAUGAAAUGGGAAACACUUUGAAGAGCUGUCCAAAACACUGUCACCACCCUGACUUAAAGGUAUACAGACCUUAUUCAUCAAUGUUAUGGUUGACUCCUCACUAGACUUGGAUGGUCAAACUGCAGCAAUUUUCAAAAACAUUUUCCCUCUCCUACAGCUCAAUAGUAAAUUCUGGCCUUCUCUUGUAGAUGGGCAUCUCUCCCCAGUGAUUCGUGUAUUUGUCACCUCCAGCUUGAACUCCCAUAACUGGAGUGGAAUCUGAAACCUGUGAAUGUAUUCAGAAGUUGACUGCUGGAUUUUUCCACGAUGUAAGGUCCUUUUAACGCAGUAUGUCUGAAUUCAAGUCUCUCAGCAAGUGUUUCCAUUCUAUGUCAGUGUCUGUUUACAGAGCUGGAAGAGUGUGUCAAGUGACUGAGUGGCAUAAUGAUUUGGCCCAUGGAAAUGGUGGAAGAGCUCCCCAAUCCCAAUUCAGCUGCACCCUGCAAACACCACAUUUCUGUAUGAAGACUGCACUGAUAGAAAAAGAAGAUCUGUGCCACAGCUUUUUGCAGGACUUUACAUAAUAGCUUCUCAGUAGAUUUGUGAAUAGCCAGAAAAACUGUCGAGGGAAGCAAUGGUGCAGACACCAGCCUGAGCUGCAGUUCUUUCCUGUAGCUUUCUUUAUAUAAGGGCAGAGAGAUGUUAAGCGUACAGUGCUACUCCUAUUUCAUAUUUUUUUGCACUUUGACUAAAAGAUGCUAUAUGUGAUCCAAAAGUUCUGUCACAUUAACUAAGUUAACACAUUAACUAACCAUGCAUGUGGUUGUUGUUGGUUGUGAAACUACUAGCGUGGAUUUUUUUCUGGAUGAGAUGUUAACAUGAACACAUGUACAUGCAGGCAGACAUACUUUUGAAGAAGCAACUUGUUAAGUCUUUCUAAGAGUACUACAGUUUGAGACAGUAAUAAUUAGGAAAAAAAAAAAAAGAUAAAUAAUGGUCUAUUUUUAAAAUGGCAGUAUGUAACUGAUGCCUGAUGGAAAAGUCAGUGCAGAGAGAAUAAAACACACCAAAGAAAUAAACUGGAAGAAAAG
rnacentral:lncRNA from 1 species